rnacentral:rRNA from 1 species
AGUUUUGAGCUAAAUAUACUUAUAAUAUUAGUUUAUUUAUGAAGGUGUUGUAAAACCUUAUUAAAAAUUAUAUUUAGGGGUGAUAGGCCUUUCAAAAACUAAGAUAUCUUGAAUCUAAUUAAAAGUAUGUAGUACAUUCAACACAACUAUUAAGUGAUUAGGCUUUAUAGAACUAUUAACUUAUAAGGAUUUUUAUUUAUUAUAAUUUAAUAAUUAAGUAUAUAAAUAAAAUAAUAUACAUAUAUUAUAGUUUAUAAGGAGUAAUUAGAUAAAUUAAAGUUCAUAAAUUUUGUAAUAAUGUUAAUAUUAGUAUUAAGUUUAUAUUUAUAUGAUGAACUCGGCAAAAAUGUUUCUCAACUGUUUAUCAAAAACAUAACUAUGUGUAUAAAUACAUAGCGGUUUCUGCUCAA